CAUCUCCUCUUCCAUCGCACCUGCCCAAUUACCACUCUCUGAACUCAUAAUGGCUUUUGGGUAAGUGGAUGGAAUGUCAUCAACAACUGGAAGUGCAUAGGCAACCAUAUCCAUGAAACGAGCAGGCUUCUGAAUAUCUCGUCUCUGUCUUCUAACUGCAAUUGGCGCUGAUUGUUGUUGAGAUUCUUGGGUAGGAACCUCUUCCUCAUCUGACUCUUCUUCUGCCAUAGGAGAGUCACUUGUGGUAUUUCGUGUUGGGAUCACCACUGUCGGCUCAAACUCCACCUGCUUC
rnacentral:lncRNA from 1 species